CUGUUCGGAUGUUUUCACAACACUUGGGCUCCGGCUCCUUUCGUUUUUAUUUAUGUAUUUAUUAUUGGGUCAGACAUCUUACCAGGUAACAUCAUUUCCCAACACCUGGGAGCAGGAGGAAGAAGAGAAAGAGCUCAGCGCCGGCUCCUGACAAUAUAAACGAAACAAGGCAUCAAGAGAAUCCUCGCUGAGCGGAGAUGUAUUUACUGAAGCUGUCAGGACAGAGAGACGGAGCCCAAACCACCGGGGUCCCCUGUUACCAGCCGUGGUUCAAGCUGAGUGGACUGGGUCUUGAGCAGUGGAGCGCGGGGCCCAGCUGCCCAGGCUCGGGGACAUCGCAGAGGGGGACCUGCUGAUCGGACUGGUCUCCUCUGGGGUCCCCAGCAACGGCUUCAGCCUGGUCCGCAAACUCCUGGAGAGGGCCAACCGGAGCUACAGCGCCCCUGCUCCCUUUUGGCAAGUCAGGACAGACUGUCGGUAAGUCAUCUUUUCAGUCACAAGAUGGACCUGAGUGUACUUUUAAUGUAUUUGUGUGUGGUAACACGUUAAGACUUUCCCAAACAAUUGGUAGCAUUCGUUGCAGUUUUACUGUUUUGGUACAACAUUAAGACAACAUUUUCUCUGAGCCCUGGUGCUUCCUGCCAUUCUUUGGCCAAUGGAUUUACCCUCCAUUUGCCAUAAUGUCUGUUUUUGCUGAGAAAUAAUCCAGCCAUGAAAUUUGGUGGUAAAGAAUAAUUAUUUAACGUGUUGUAACCCUACCCAAAUGUGAGGACUUUCUGUUUUUAUAUCAUAGUAAACUGAAUAUAUUUAGGUUGUGGACUGUAAAAAAACAAAACACAGACAUUGAGACAUUCAUGCAUUUUUCACAUUUUCUGACAUUUUACAGUGCAAAUGAUUAAUUGAGAAAAUAAUCAGCAGAUUAAUGGAUAAUGAAAGUUAUUUUUAAGUUGCAUUCCUAAAUUAUUUAGGUGUAACAUCCCUCAGGUGUUGUCCCAGGGGCUGGCAGUGGAUUUAGGUGCUAGGGGUGGGAAUCUCCAGAGGCCUCACGAUCCGAUAUCAUCACGAUACUUAUGUCACGAUUCGAUAUUAUUGCGAUUUUAAACAUAUUGCAAUAUUCUGCGAUAUAUUGCAAUUUAUUACCUUUUUUCCAACUUCAAAUUUUUCCAAAUUUCAAAUGAUGUGCCCAAAAGGAAACUUUGUCAACAUCUGUUUUAUCUCAAAAGAUCAAUUUCUCUGUUGGUUCAUCUCACUUCAGUUUUAUUGCUACAAAAUGGGACCAACACAUAUGUAAUAAAAGAUUGAUACUUGGCAUCUGUAUCGAUACAGUGUUGCCAUGGAAAAUAUCGCGAUACUAUGCUGUAUCGAUUCCCCCCCCCACCCCUAUGUUGAACGCACGCGGACACUUGAUUUUCAAAUGAAGCAUGUUUUAGCAAUCUGGAAGGGUGGUGUGCCUCUGGAUGAAGCUGCAUUUGCAUUUUGGAAAUCAGUUACCUUUUUUAUGAUGACCUAGUGUGAGGCAGCGAAAAAAAGUGUUUCCUGUGGAAACCUAGUAGGAUAACCGCUGUGCACAUUGUAAACAUAAAUAAGCAGCCUUCUUUUCAUAUUCAGCACAGUUCCCCCCUCUUGAAAAUGUAGUGGUCUCUUUGUAGUUCUUGGUUCUCGUGCAUAUUUCCCUCCUUCACUCAGAUGUGUCUCGAUGGAGCAUCCCCCCAGUGUUUUCCUGGCUCCAAAAGGAGGGGGGGUCUGAGUGAGGAGGAGAUGUCCCGCACCUUCAACUGAGGCCUGGGGGCGGUGCUGGUGGUUCCCCCCCUGGCUGCUCAGAGGGUCUUACGCCAGCUUCGAGCACAUGAAGAGGCCUGGAUCGUGGGUUGACUGGCCCAGGCUGGGGUACGGGCCACUGGCUGCACAGUCCAUUUUGUUGCAGUAAGUAUGGCAUACUGUGGAAACAUCAUAUAUUAAACCAAAAUCUUUUUCACUCAGCCAUUGUUUUUGUUCAUCUGUGUUUAGGAAGAAGUGGAUGCAGGAGCCAUCAUCAUGCAGGAGGCGGUGCCAGUGCUGGUCAGCGACCCAGAGGAGAGUCUGUCGGACAGAAUCAGGAAGGCAGAGCACCGAGCCUUCCCCGCUGCUCUGGAGCUGGUGGCCAGCGCCUUCACUUCAUUCAUGCCUUCUUCAGACUGUACUCACAGUAUACUCAUAGCAUUGUAUGUCAUGAUUUUUGUGCGUAAAAAAGCCAUAGUAUAGUAUGUCGAAAAAAGUGAUAAAAAUCCGUAGUAUAGUAUGUGGAAAAAAGUGAAAAAGUCAUAGUACAGUAUGU